GUUAUCGAUAAUACUUAAGCAACCAAAUUGUGGGACUAACACCUGUAUUGUGACAGGAUAUAAAUAUAUAUAUAUAUAAAUUCGCCUGCUCGUUCGUCUGCCUGAGCACCGGUAAGAAUACUUCUUUUUCCAAUUGGACAUAUCGCUACAUCUCACCCGUUUAAUUUGAGGAUUACCACAUACAGGAUACAUACAGAUCUUCUCCACUGGGACAAAGAAACAGCACGAUCUACAUCUGGAAAUCACAGCGAAAUCAUCCACACUAUGGAUCCAACACACUCACCGCGCUUAUACAUACACAAAUGAACAACUGCAGGUGCGUUGAUGGUUUAUUUUAAAACUCGAUUUACACGCGUAAAACGUUCUUCAUCGUCUUCGAAUUCGACAAUUGGAGAGUGGGGAAGCUUUGCUAAGCCAGCCAGAUACACGAGCACAACUAUGCUCAUAUAUAUUCUUGUUGUGAUUUGCGAAAAAGCACUAGUCCAUGAAAAAUAUGAAAAAUAAUGUAUGUAUGUUUUAAACUAAUUACACGCCUAUCAAGUACUUCAAUCGAACCAGCAGAAAUAUACUGCAACUCAAUCAGCCCUGAUGGACAUUCACUGGACAUUCACACGACACACUUGCUAUUUCAGCUCUAGAUCAGCAGUCUCACUUUCCUUCGCCCUCCGCUUUUUUUUAAAAACAUCAAUAAACUAAACAAAGUUAUACGAAAAACACUCAACAUAGUUACACUAACAUAGUUACACUGAACAAAAUUACAUCACAAAAUUGUUACAAAAUUACACUGAAAAGAUAACACUUUAAAUUAAAAAAAUCAAAAAACAA